GGGCCGGUAGCUCAGCCAGGUCGGAGCAGCGGACUCUUAAUCCGCCGGUCGGGGGUUCGAAUCCCUCCCGGCCCG
rnacentral:tRNA from 1 species